UAUAUAGCGCAAGUUCCAUGUACCCAUAAAGAGCUCGGCACAAGAGUAUUGAUGACGAGACAACACUCUCAAUAACGAAGUGCUAAAAAAUAUGAACCAAAUGGUGCUCAUACUAUCAAAUUACAGGUUAUUGACUCUCUCUAUUAUCUUAAACUAGAACAAGCGAGCACGAAGACAAAACCUCGAAUAGAAUCUCGAUAAUCCUACAGCACGAUAAAACAAAGGUUAGCUUGUAUAAGAUAAAGGAGAUAAAAGGCGAAAAUGAGCUCGUAUAAGAGAUGAUCUCGGUAAGAAAACAAAUAUAUCGCUCAUAAUGAGGACUAAAAAGAUAUGAGCUCAAUGGUACACAAGCCACCAGUUAGAAAAGCGAUGGAGUUGAGAAGUAUAGACUAGAUGUAAGCAGCAGUGUCAUUCAAGAUACGACUAAGGCCUGAAGGGCUAUUUGCCACAGCGAUCAGGCGUGAGAUAAGAUUAUCACACGGGCAUAAAUAAUAUCCUAAGUUUAUUAGCCAAUAAUGUAUAAUAGCCUAAUCGAUAGGUAGAGUGAAAGAAAUGACUAUUACAAAACAAGAAGAGAGUCUGAAGAAACAACAGACAACAAAACUCAUUUGUGAAGAAUAAUGACAGGUCAGCGAUGCAGAUUACAAACUAUACAUUAUAUACGUAACCGGGUCCACGCCAGAAGGACAAUAAUGACUAAUAAUGUAGCAUAUGAAAUAUUAAGUAUAACAGUUCCUAUCUCAAGAAAUGGUAAAAACAAAUAUUGCUAAAUACCAAUGAAACAUCCAUGAACAGCGCAACAACAACGACCAAAAACAAAAACAAGAAACCAAGCGCAGAGCGCUGUAGGAACAUUAAGUAAAGUAUAAAAAAAACGGCUACAACAGCAAUAGAAAAAUGGAUUUCGAUUUACCAUAGCAUAAGGGUAUCGCAACUAUGUUAGGGAAUCAUCUCCGCGCUCUAAACUACGAGAACCAAACUCGGAGAGAAAACAAGGAAAGGAGAUUUUUCUAUACAAACCUACAAAAGAAAGCUUACAAAAAGUAAAAGCUAAAAUAAAACUUUGUGUCAAAGAACAUUCGCAACUUCCUCUGUGAAUGCUUUUCUCAAAACUAAAUCCAAUAUUAAGGGGCUGAGCAAAUUAUUACUCGUCUAGUACUGCAAAGUUAGCUUAUACCCGAAUAAGUAAAUACGUUUUUGAUUCCAUUCAUCGCAUGAUAAAAAUUAAGCAUCCAAAGCUUAAUGCUAAAGCGCUUAAAUCCAAAUUUUAUCACAAAGUGAAUAAUAGAGAUUGAUUAAUGUUACUCAAUAGCACUCGAAAUUAAAAGGAUCAAUAUAGCAAAAUUAAAUUUAUCGUUCAAAUAUUCCGACGACUCAUAUUAAAAGAAAAUCAAAAUCCAACUAUGAAACAAACAUUGAGCGCUAACAAAUAUACCCCAAAAUACCUCAUGGGCUCGAGUAUAUGAGGAGUAUUAAAUAAAAGAUACUUAUGAAAUGUGUUUAAUCAGCAAAACGAAAUUAAAUAUCAGAUUAAAAAGCUAGCAAAAAAAGAACUAAAACAACGGUAUGGCAACAAGAAAAACACAGACAUAAUAUGUAAAAAUAGCACUACUAUAUAAACGCCAUAGAGUGGAGACUACUACUUAGUACCGAAUUCACGAAGAACUUACUACCUACUCAGAAGUAACCAUGUGGUGAAGUAGACGGUUAACAAAUCUAAUAUAUAAAGAAAAAACUAUGAACUCGCUUCAUACAUAAACCGACACAGGUGAGCUUAUUGAGAAGAUAAAGACGAAUGAGAUAAUUAUACUUAAGGAACUCGGCAAAUUUGCUCCGUACGUUCGCAACAAGGAGUACCUUAAAGGAUUCAAAAAUUAGGGGUAGCGACUGUUUAACAAAAACUCAAAACUUUGCAAAUUCGAAAGAAGACGUAUAAGGUUUGACGCCUGCCCAGUGCUUGAAAGCGAAAAAUACACGUUAACGCUUGUAUCAUAAACUCAAGUAAACGGCGGUCUUAACUAUAAGGAUCCUCAGGUAGCGAAAUUCCUUGGCGGGUAAAUUCCGUCCUGCAUGAAUGGCGUCACGACUACCCCACUGUCUCUAGUAUAAACUCAGCGAAAUUACAUUGUCUGUGAAAAUGCAGACAUCCUACAACAAGACGGAAAGACCCUAUGAUUCUUAACUAUAAUUUUACGUCGCAAUAAUUUUGUGUACAGUACAGUAAAAGUAGGAGUAUACUUAUACAAUUUUGAAAAACUACUCUGUACAUAAGAAAUUGCUUACUGAAGAGAAAAUAUGUAAAAGUGGUAGUUUACUUGGGACGAGGACCUCCUAAACUGUAACGGAGGUGCACAAAAGUAAAUUUUAAUUAGUUUUUUGUAUUAAUAAAAUAUGUAAUGGUAAAAAUUUGCUUGACGGUAAGAGUUACAACUCAAACCGGGACGAAAGUCGGUCAUAAUGAUCCGGCAGUAAUGUAUGGAAAUACUGUCGCUUAUCGGAAAAAAGAAACUCUAGGGAUAACAGAUUUAUCAUGGCUGAGAGUUCUUAUCGACGCCAUGGUUUGAUACCUCGAUGUCGGCUCAUCUUUUCCUGGAGCUGUAACAGGUUCCAAGGGUAUGGUUGUUCGCCAAAUAAUAAGAUACGUGAGCUGGGUUCAGAACGUCGUGAGACAGUUCGGUCCCUAUCUGUUGUGGGUAAGAAAAAACUAGAUUUAUCUCGUAAAUAGCUAAUCUCCACUUUAGGGAUUAAACUAAUAUUACAGGUAGGAAGCUAGUUCAUACAGAUCUA
rnacentral:rRNA from 1 species